rnacentral:rRNA from 1 species
CUACGGGACGCUGCAGUGAGGAAUUUUGCGCAAUGGGGGGAACCCUGACGCAGCAACGCCGUGUGAGUGAAGAAGGCCUUUGGGUCGUAAAGCUCUGUCAACUGGGAAGAAGUUACUAUGCUUAAAUAGAGUGUAGUAUUGACGGUACCAGUGGAGGAAGCGUCGGCUAACUCCGUGCGCAGCAGCCGCGGUAACACGGGGGACGCAAGCGUUAUUCGGAAUUAUUGGGCGUAAAGGGCGCGUAGGCGGUCUUGUCGGUCAGGUGUGAAAGCCCGGGGCUCAACCCCGGACGUGCACUUGAAACAGCAAGACUUGAGUACGGGAGAGGAAAGCGGAAUUCCUGGUGUAGAGGUGAAAUUCGUAGAUAUCAGGAGGAACACCGAUGGCGAAGGCAGCUUUCUGGACCGAAACUGACGCUGAGGCGCGAAGGCGUGGGUAGCGAACGGGAUUAGAUACCCCGGUAGUC